GCGCGUCUUCAUUAAUCAAGAACGAAAGUCAGAGGUUCGAAGGCGAUCAGAUACCGCCCUAGUUCUGACCGUAAACGAUGCCAACUAGCGAUCCGCCGGUGGCUGCAUGGCCCUGGUGGGGAGCUUCCCGGAAACGAAAGUCUUCCGGUUCCGGGGGAAGUAUGGUUGCAAAGCUGAAACUUAAAGGAAUUGACGGAAGGGCACCACCAGGAGUGGAGCCUGCGGCUUAAUUUGACUCAACACGGGAAAACUCACCCGGCCCGGACACCGUGAGGAUUGACAGAUUGAUAGCUUUUUCAUGAUUCGGUGGUUGGUGGUGCAUGGCCGUUCUUAGUUCGUGGAUCGAUUUGUCUGGUUUAUUCCGAUAACGAGCGAGACUCCAGCCUGCUAACUAGUGCGGGCAUUACCGCUGUGCUCUUCGCACUUCUUAGAGGGAUUGGCUGCGUCUAGCGGCACGAAACGGAGCAAUAACAGGUCUGUGAUGCCCUUAGAUGUCCGGGGCUGCACGCGCGCUACACUGGCGAAGGCAGCGUGCUUGUCCG
rnacentral:rRNA from 1 species